AAAAAUGCCUAUGUGACUAUCACUACGAUGAAGUCGUUUCUUUUGGAGGGAAGAGUCAGCGCUCACCGAUCAUAUUCAAAGGAUAUUUACUAUGCCAUUGUUGCAACGACAGAGAAGACCAAGGAGCAGGAGAAUUCCCGAAAAGAAAGCAGGGAGACAGCAAAGUGUUGGAAAAUUACAAUUUAAAUAAAUGUUAGCAUUGAAAUAUGUUAAGUCACUGAAAUAUGUUAUGUCACUGAAAUGUGUUAUGUUUGUGAUUAAAUCAUAAUAAAUUAUGUUAGCACUA